rnacentral:rRNA from 1 species
AAAUUUAUAAUCUGGCACCUUCGGUGUCCGAGUUGUAAUCUCUAGAAGUGUUUUCCGCGUUGGACCGCACACAAGUCUGUUGGAAUACAGCGGCAUAGUGGUGAAACCCCCGUAUAUGGUGCGGACGCCCAGCGCUUUGUGAUACACUUUCAAUGAGUCGAGUUGUUUGGGAAUGCAGCUCAAAUUGGGUGGUAAAUUCCAUCUAAAGCUAAAUAUUGGCGAGAGACCGAUAGCGAACAAGUACCGUGAGGGAAAGAUGAAAAGCACUUUGGAAAGAGAGUUAACAGUACGUGAAAUUGUUGGAAGGGAAACGCUUGAAGUCAGACUUGCUUGCCGGAGCUUGCUUCGGUUUGCAGGCCAGCAUCAGUUUUUCGGGGUGGAUAAUGACGGUUUGAAGGUAGCAGUCUCGGCUGUGUUAUAGCUUUCCGUUGGAUACAUCCUGGGGGACUGAGGAACGCAGCGUGCUUUUUGCGAAAGACUCGUCUUUUUCACGCUUAGGAUGCUGGUGGAAUGGCUUUAAACGACCCGUCUUGA